CUGCAGCGUCGUUUUGGUCUAGUGUGGUGCGAGAGGUGCCUUGUGCCCCAAAGUCUCCUGAGCGAAAGUCUGGUCCAAUCCUGAGCCAUAUUGCAUGUUUCUAAGACUUCUUUGAGACUGUGGAACAUUUUUAGACCGCUGGUGUGCGCAGCUAAGAUGGCAGUGGUGGUGGCAGUGGUGGUGGUGGUGGUGGCCCUGGUGGUGUUCAUGCUGGUGGCGACGUUUGUGCCUACAUGAGUCCAACUGGCGAAGAAGCGGAAGGAGAAGCAUAAAGAGGAGAAGGCUGGAUGAAGUGGAGGAGGAAAGGAUAAAACGUCAAAAGAUGAUGCACUUGUCCUUUCCGUCCAUAACCGUCCUUGCCCUUGACUCUGCAGCGUUGGCCGUGAGAGUCCUCCUCUCAGACCGCGGCACCAACUGUGACAUCCUGAAGUACGCAGUCUGCUCUUCUCUGCAGUAAAGCAGCGCAGGAUGGGCGUCAGGCAAGAGGACAAAAUAUACUACAGCAACAUUCUUGCAACGCCCUCCCUGCCUCGCCCCUCCAUGCUCAGACCUACUACGUCCUCCACACCCUUCCAGGACACCAGCACCUUUACUUCCAGACCAUCAACCUCCUCCACCCUUUUCCAAACUCCAAGUCUCCUCUACUUCCAAACCUCCUUCACUCCAUUUCCAGAACCUCAUCCUCUGCUCCCUUUCACACUCAGCCUCCUCCACCCUUUUCCAGAUCCUCAUCCUCCUCCUUACCCUCGGAGUUGAUUCCUGCCUUCCUCCCUCGCAAACAGGCUCAGGAAAGAAGAAAGACUGAGUUAAACGAACACCCAAUUUUCGGUUGUCUUACAUAAAAAAAAUGGCUCUUAAUUCUCUCAAUGUUUUUUAUUUUUUUUUAUUUACUUCCUUAACUGCACUCUUGCACCCUCCAGGAGAUAAUGGCAAGUAUGAGAAAGUGGAUG